rnacentral:lncRNA from 1 species
GAACUCCUUACCCCAGCUGCCUGGCUGCCCUCAGCUUCCCAAAGCUCAAAUAAGAGGGGCCGGCGGCGCGGGGAAGAGGAGGAGCCAGGAGGCUCGGCCGCUCCAUUCACUCAGCAGCCCAAGCCCGGCCAGGCAGCGCGCGCUGCUCCUUGGGGGCGCCCUCGCAGCUGGGGUGAGGGCGGGUCCGAGGGAGCGUCCCUCUCGGAGACACCCUCCUCUUCAACCCAACACGCGCUCUCAGCUGGCCGGUGUGGCACAACCCUCCCCCCACCUCCCCUUCUUGGCCUUCGCCAGUGUGGGAGCCUCGUCUCACUGGAGAGUCCGUUCAGCUUGCAUUGCAUAAACGUUGUCGCCAUUAAAUUCUGGCUGCGGACCCGAAGUGUGUGCGGGCCCAGGACUUACUCGAAGGGCGCACUUCUUGGGAAUGCGCAUCCCGUAGGCGCAGGAGACCCUGAGGAAUCCUUGUGGGGGCGGGGAGGGGAAGAGCACCGGUGCGAACCCCGGGGUGCCCCCUCGCCCGACUUGGACUUCUCCGACUAAAGAGGUGGGAGGAGUUCCCUGCAGCCUGCGGGGCCAAGAAGAAAGUGCUAAGCUGAGGAGCCGCAGUCGGAGGACCCCAGGGACCCGACAGGAAGUCUCCGUACGACCCCAACGGAUCCACAUGCCCGGAAGCCCAGGCGACACUAAGCCAGCGCUGGGGAACUGACGUACUCCUGCAGUCGCAGGGCGCUCCAUGCCUCUCUGUCCUCUUCUUUGUUGUGGGUAACGUUCUCUGCGGGAGACCUGAGGUUUUCCAAGGGGGACAUGCCAGCUACACUGGCCUUGGCGCCCUGAGCUAAGCACCAGGACUCACAGCCUAGCACGAAGGCAGGUAGCACCUUCACCCGCCGCGGACGAUAGGCGCUCUCCUGUACCUCCUUUAGCUCGCGAGGCCCGCCCUUCGCGAGGUCCCAGAGAAAAGCAGGCUGUGGAAAACUGGGCGCCCCCUUCUUUCACCCACCUUCUUACCCCUGUCAGCGCCGAGAUCUGUAGCAGAGGUUCCUGGUCUGAACCACCGAUUGGCAAAGAAAGCUGCAGAUUAAACUUCUCGUUUUACAGAGAAGGAAACUGAGGCCCAGACAGCCGAAGGAGAGGCAGUCUAUGGAGCGCAGCGGUAAAGAGCAAGGGGUUGGUGGCCCCAGAAUGGAACCUCAGCUCUGCCAGGUAACCAACAGCUGUGUGACCCUAGACGAGUUCCGCAGUCUCUCUGAGCCUCAGUUUCCUUACUGGUCAAACGGGAUAAUGGGAUACUAGCGCCCACCUCAUAGAGUUGUUCUGAGG